rnacentral:piRNA from 1 species
GAUAUCUUGGAGCAAACAGUUUU